rnacentral:rRNA from 1 species
GAUGAACGCUGGCGGCGUGCCUAGUACAUGCAAGUCGAGCGAACAGACGAGGAGCUUGCUCCUCUGACGUUAGCGGCGGACGGGUGAGUAACACGUGGAUAACCUACCUAUAAGACUGGGAUAACUUCGGGAAACCGGAGCUAAUACCGGAUAAUAUAUUGAACCGCAUGGUUCAAUAGUGAAAGACGGUUUUGCUGUCACUUAUAGAUGGAUCCGCGCCGCAUUAGCUAGUUGGUAAGGUAACGGCUUACCAAGGCGACGAUGCGUAGCCGACCUGAGAGGGUGAUCGGCCACACUGGAACGGAGACACGGUCCAGACUCCUACGGGAGGCAGCAGUAGGGAAUCUUCCGCAAUGGGCGAAAGCCUGACGGAGCAACGCCGCGUGAGUGAUGAAGGUCUUCGGAUCGUAAAACUCUGUUAUUAGGGAAGAACAAAUGUGUAAGUAACUAUGCACGUCUUGACGGUACCUAAUCAGAAAGCCACGGCUAACUACGUG